rnacentral:snRNA from 14 species
GGUUUAAUUACCCAAGUUUGAGGUAAACCCAACUCUCAUCGUAUUAACUACGAUACACUCUGAGUGAGUGUAAUAAAGGUUAUUACGUUUUCUCUUCCCAGAGAAAAAG